rnacentral:lncRNA from 1 species
GGUAGAAACCCAACAGCAUCAAGGGAAUAAAUGCCCAUACGAGCUCAGGAUUUGCAACAAAUGUGAUUGGCACACUGUGCAAGAUGAAGAGCACAUUAUUCUGGACUGCCCUUCUGAGGACAUGGCAGGCUUGCGCACUCAGUUUCAGCAUCUGUUUUCUUCAUUGCCUGAAAAUGGUGCAAUGCGGCUUCGAGACUUCAUGAACCAGACUGAUGUCUUAGAAUUAGCCAAGUUUGUGUCUGCUUGCUUGAAAUGCUGUGCCUGAGUUUUGAG